ensembl:snoRNA U3 Small nucleolar RNA U3
AAGACUAUAUUUUCAGGGAUCAUUUGUAUAGUUUGUUACUAGAGAAGUUUUUAUGAACGCGUAGAGCACCCGAAACCACGAGAAGGAGGUGCAGCGUUCUCUCCUGAGUGUGAAGUCAGCUCUUGGUGUUACUUCUGCAACUGCCACUAGCCACUGAUGAUUGUUCUUCUCUUCCUUUGGGAGAGUAAGAGGGAGAGAACGCUGUCAGAGUUA